ACAGCCAGCCUGCAUGGGUCUUUGGGCAGUCGUCGUGCUCAGUGCCGCUGCUUCAGUAACUUGGCCUUUGCCCUCAGUCAGCUGAGGGAGCAUGAGGAGGCAGCAGAGAAUGACCUCCAAGCCCUGCAGGCCUUCAAAGACACUGUGAGUGGAGCUGGCUCUGCAGAGGUGUCUAUCGGAGAGCAGGGGAAGGAGGAGGAAGCCCCGGUUCCAGAUGGAGAACAGGCACACACAGUGACGAUGGGAGAAGCAUGUGACUCUCAGUCACCGGUGACAAGAUCUCUCAUUGAGAAGCCGGGGUAUCUGACUGUGCUGCCAGGGGCAAACAGGAACCUGAAUAAUACAUAUGAGCAGCCCGACCCGACCACCAUUAUUAGAACCAGGACCCAUCAAACCACCCUGUACUCACCCAGCAGAGCGAGCAUUUAUAUGAGAGCUUUAAACCGAUGACAACACAGACUAACAGUGAGACUCCAUUGUCCGAAAGCGCCGAAGAUUCACCCACUGGUGCGACAGAUAAUGAAGAGACCAUAACCCUGUUAAAGAAACGGAAGUCCUAAAUCUGCACAGUCAUGUGACUUGAUGCAAGUUAAUGUGGUUGGUUAAUUGAAAGCAUUCAUAGAAAUGACUCUAUUGGGUGUAUUUCUAUGGGUCAAAUCUGCUCUUUGCACAUUGGUAUUAAAAAUUCUAAUGCACAUGUAAGUGUUACUGUAUAACAUUGUCUGUCUCAUCUCCUGCACGUACAAGUGUUGCCAUGUCAUUGCAUUUGUCUUCCAAACACUCCCUGUGUGUAUGCUGGUCAUUGUCCCCCACACUGAAAUUGGGGAAGGGACUGUGGAUCUGUUUCCGUCCGUUAGUACGUUCAUAUGUUAGUCACAAGCGAUAUCUCAGACAGCAUUGGCCCGGUUUUGACUAAACUUUGGUGAAUGGUGCAUCUUGCCAUAGCUUUACAGCAUUUAGAAAAUUACACUGAUUGGCCAGAUGGUGGCCCUGUAACAAGAUUGAAAAUGCAAAGUUUGAAAGGUCAUGCCCCUCACCCCAUUAUACCUUAAAUCAUGAAAUAUAGUAGAUCGGUUCCUGUCUUCACAAGGAACAAAUUUGCCUCUGGACCCAUAAGUUCCGCCAUGAUGGAUUUUCCGCCAUUUUGAAUUGUGUGAAAAACACUUAACCCUACUCUUCUGAUACCGAAUGACCAAUCUGCACGAAACUUGAUAUGUGGCAUUUAUGGAAAACGAUCUCUCAACGCAAUAUUUUCCAGACUGGUAGCUAAAUCAACAUGGCCGCUAUAUUGACCAAUAAACAUUCACCUGGGUGUGUUCUGGCACAUAACUGCAUAUAAAUCAGUCAAAGACAUUCGUAUUGUAACAGAAUUUGAUAAACCCUGUCAAGACUCAACAUAUGCAAGAACAUUCAUAUCGACCUUGCUGUGGCGCUAUAACGGGCAUAUAUCUGUUGGUCUGUUUGACUUAGUGAUGAAAUUUGGCACGCAUGUUUAGGGAUAUGAGCUAACCCACACGAUAUCUCAGACACCACUGGCCCAAUUUUGACAACAUUUGGGUGAAUGAUUAGUCAUGCUAUAGAGAUCUGAAAAUGACAAAAUUAUACCUUUUGGGCCAGGGGGGCUAUAGUAAUCAACUGUACAUACGUUAGUCAUUUGUGGGGGGAUGACAUGUUUACUGUUGCCUUAUUUCAAGGUGUCUUGGUAGUCAAUAUUCUAAGAUUGUCAUAAUGUGUAUCAUUUCUUCAAUCAUGCUAAUUUAAAUCUCUGCUCUUCACUUGAAUCAUGGUUGUACAAUUUGAAAUAAAUGUCAUCUGUUUUUGAACUAUUUAACUCUGAUCCUUUGUAAAUGUAUAGUCACCACAACGCUUAAGAAAGCCAUCACCGUUGAUCAUUGCUACAAGAAAACACAAAAAAAGAACAAGCACUCAAUCUGUUUUCAAUUGGUUUUCCUAAAGGUCACACUAUGAGAAAAUAGGCCUAACCUGUAAUUAAAUAUCCACAAUUGUUACCCAGAGGAGGGCCAUUUUUUUUCAAUUUCAGUCAGGGAGAGGGUUUAGUCUUUUAUUCAUUUUUAUAUAUUUGUUAUUUAGUCCAG
rnacentral:lncRNA from 1 species